rnacentral:tRNA from 1 species
AGGGAUAUAGCUCAGUUGGUAGAGUGCCUGCCUUGCAUACACAAGACCCUGGGUUCAAUCCCCAGCACCACAA